UACGUAGGGCGCAAGCGUUGUCCGGAAUUAUUGGGCGUAAAGAGCUCGUAGGCGGUUUGUCGCGUCUGCUGUGAAAACCUAAGGCUCAACCUUGGGCUUGCAGUGGGUACGGGCAGACUGGAGUGCGGUAGGGGUGACUGGAAUUCCUGGUGUAGCGGUGGAAUGCGCAGAUAUCAGGAGGGACACCGGUGGCGAAGGCGGGUCUCUGGGCCGACAUUGACGCUGAGGAGCGAAAGCGUGGGGAGCGAACAGG
rnacentral:rRNA from 1 species